rnacentral:rRNA from 1 species
GAUUAACGCUGGCGGCAUGCCUAACACAUGCAAGUCGAAUGAAUUUAUAUUCAUGGCGAACGGCUGAGUAACGCGUGGGAACUUACCCCUAAGUCAAGCAUAACCCAUCGAAAGGUGGGAUAAUACUUGAUAUUCUCUUCGGAGGAAAGAUUUAUCGCUUAGGGAGAGGCCUGCGUUCGAUUAGCUUGUUGGUGAGGUAAAAGCUCACCAAGGCUCUGAUCGAUAGAGGGCUCGAGAGGGUGACCCUCCAGACUGGGACUGAGACACGGCCCAGACUCCUAUGGGAGGCAGCAGUGGGGAAUUUUGCGCAAUGCGGGAAACCGUGACGCAGCAAUGCCGCGUGCAGGAAGACGGCCUUCGGGUUGUAAACUGCUUUUGUUCAUGAAGAUUAUGACGGUAAUGGACGAAUAAGAACUUGCUAACUACG